rnacentral:rRNA from 1 species
CCUACGGGAGGCAGCAGUGGGGAAUAUUGCACAAUGGGCGCAAGCCUGAUGCAGCCAUGCCGCGUGUGUGAAGAAGGCCUUCGGGUUGUAAAGCACUUUCAGCGGGGAGGAAGGCGGUGAGGUUAAUAACCUCAUCGAUUGACGUUACCCGCAGAAGAAGCACCGGCUAACUCCGUGCCAGCAGCCGCGGUAAUACGGAGGGUGCAAGCGUUAAUCGGAAUUACUGGGCGUAAAGCGCACGCAGGCGGUCUGUCAAGUCGGAUGUGAAAUCCCCGGGCUCAACCUGGGAACUGCAUUCGAAAUUGGCAGGCUAGAGUCUUGUAGAGGGGGGUAGAAUUCCAGGUGUAGCGGUGAAAUGCGUAGAGAUCUGGAGGAAUACCGGUGGCGAAGGCGGCCCCCUGGACAAAAACUGACGCUCAGGUGCGAAAGCGUGGGGAGCAAACAGGAUUAGAUACCCUUGUAGUC